rnacentral:rRNA from 1 species
GUGGGGAAUUUUUCGCAAUGGGCGCAAGCCUGACGAAGCAACGCCGCGUGGAGGAUGAAGGCCUUCGGGUCGUAAACUCCUGUCGACUGGGACGAAAGCAGUCUGGGCUAAUAUCCCGGGCUGUUGACUGUACCGGUGGAGGAAGCCACGGCUAACUCUGUGCCAGCAGCCGCGGUAAUACAGAGGUGGCAAGCGUUGUUCGGAAUUACUGGGCGUAAAGGGCGCGUAGGCGGCUCGACAAGUCCCGCGUGAAAGCCCCCGGCUCAACUGGGGAACUGCGCGGGAAACUGUCGGACUUGAGUUCGGGAGAGGGAAGCGGAAUUCCGGGUGUAGCGGUGAAAUGCGUAGAUAUCCGGAGGAACACCGGUGGCGAAGGCGGCUUCCUGGACCGACACUGACGCUGAGGCGCGAAAGCUAGGGGAGCAAACGGGAUUAGAUACCCUGGUAGUCC